rnacentral:rRNA from 1 species
UACGGAGGGUGCAAGCGUUAUCCGGAUUCACUGGGUUUAAAGGGUGUGUAGGCGGGCAUGUAAGUCAGUGGUGAAAUCUCCAGGCUCAACCUGGAAACUGCCAUUGAUACUAUAUGUCUUGAGGGAGGUAGGGGCAUGUGGAACUUCCGGUGGAGCGGUGAAAUGCGUAGAUAUCGGAAGGAACGCCGGUGGCGAAAGCGACGUGCUGGACCUCUUCUGACGCUGAGGCGCGAAAGCCAGGGGAGCAAACGGG